UUUUUUUUUUAAGAUUUAUUUAUUUAUUUAUUUAUUUGACAGAGAGAGAGACAGCCAGCGAGAGAGGGAACACAAGCAGGGGGAGUGGGAGAGGAAGAAGCAGCCUCCCAGCAGAGAAGCCUGAUAUGGGGCUCGAUCCCAGAAUGCUGGGAUCACGCCCUGAGCCGAAGGCAGACGCUUAACGACUGUGCCAUCCAGGCACCCCUGCAUGGUUUUUUUCUAAUAUUGUCCUCACUGAAAAAAGCUCAGACCAAGGAGCAGAAAAGAAGUUUAGUAAGUGGUUCCUAUGGAGACACUGAUGCUUGAUCUACCCAGUUACCUCUGUGUUCAAUUACUGAUGGUCUGUCGCAACUUGACAGGCAACCAGCGAUAUACAGCAGAGCUGGAAAAUCCCAGGUGGUUUAUGGUUAAUGACAAAGGAGCAUCAGCAGCACUGAGUAAUGAGAACCGAGAGGGGGUGACAUGCCAAGCAGCCACGUAG
rnacentral:lncRNA from 1 species